CCCAACACGUCUUCUAUACGGCUCUGGAUUCAGUCUGACGGACACAACCAAGACUUCUUCGUCUCCCCCAGCGUUGAACAGCGUAUUUAAACACUGAAGACAUAAGACUGAAGGUUGCUUGAAAGGCAUGGCAGACCAAGGAGCGUUUAAAUACAGCCCAAGAAGAGGUGCUCCUAGUUUUACAUCUCUGCCAGACUAUGAGCCAAGCUGGCAUCCUCUCAAGCCUCGGGUCCAUCUGACAGAUGAAAUCCUUGAUUAUGGAGGAACAAUCUACCCUCUUCUGGCAACCGUGACCAAGUUAAAGAGGCUUUACUUUCUGGGAGAGAUGACAGGCCCAGAAUAGACAGGACUUCAACCCAAAAACCUAAAGACAUCCUAUUGGGAAAUGAGGAUAAAGACUCAGAUAAGGACCCAGCUGUUCUCUUUGUAUCUGCUUGGCGAACUGACUGGCACAAGGAUCACAUGGCAGUAAUAAGUAGCAUGAAGUUUGACAGCCUCCUGAAGAUGUGUCCUGAUUUCCAUGACUCUAAGAGCCACAUGGCAGCAUUUGUCCUGA